AAUGAACGCUGGCGGCAGGCCUAACACAUGCAAGUCGAGCGAGGACUUCGGUCCUAGCGGCGGACGGGUGAGUAACGCGUGGGAACGUGCCCUUUGCUUCGGAAUAGCCCUGGGAAACUGGGAGUAAUACCGGAUGAGCCCUUUGGGGGAAAGAUUUAUCGGCGAAGGAUCGGCCCGCGUUGGAUUAGGUAGUUGGUGGGGUAAUGGCCUACCAAGCCGACGAUCCAUAGCUGGUUUGAGAGGAUGAUCAGCCACACUGGGACUGAGACACGGCCCAGACUCCUACGGGAGGCAGCAGUGGGGAAUCUUAGACAAUGGGGGAAACCCUGAUCGAGCCAUGCCGCGUGAGCGAUGAAGGCCUUAGGGUUGUAAAGCUCUUUCAGCUGGGAAGAUAAUGACGGUACCAGCAGAAGAAGCCCCGGCUAACUCCGUG
rnacentral:rRNA from 1 species